ACAAUAGGACAUAGACUUCUGGCAGCUGGAGUCCGUAGCCUACACGCGCUCGCAUACAAAAUACAGACAUCGGCAUACUAGUUAAUUCCUCGUGCCAUCUAAACACUCCUUUGUCCAGGCUUCUGUCUUUUUAUUUACUAUUUUAACCGCCCAUAAGAGGCAGCUGCUUGCCAUGCACGGUGACGCACUCCACAGCACGACCUCAUUUUAGAGGAUAUCGAUGCAUGGAGGAUCGGACACAGCUCGAGCACUUCAUCGCGCCAUUGCUGACACAGAUGCUGCGAGACAGGUGCAUUUUGGACGGAUGGUGAAACUUGCAUCAAUGCAAAAGUGGCCAAACCCACAGCCCAGCUGGCAGGAUGCAAGUCCCCAUGACAACUGGGGUUCCCUGGGGUCCCUGAUGGACUGGUGAAUACAGGAGCAGGGAGAGACAAAUGGGUAUGUGUCCAGUAUAUCCUCAUACUGUGGAGGGGGUUCUUGUAAAGGCAGAGGUUUAACAGCUGUUAUUGGUGUUAAUUCUGUCUUGUGGGCUCCAUUCCUCCAUUACAUUUUUAUUGACUAUUUUUGGUAUUAGGGGAGCUGCUGUAACAAGUUAUUCAUUUCAAUUAGGUUAGUUCAAGGAAAAAAAAAUUAAAUAAUAAAAAAAAAAAGGGGGUUAAUUAGGUCCAUUAGAUACUGUUCCUAAACACCUAUGAUUCUUGGUGAUUUUGCAGAUGAAUUUAGUAACCCUGCCCUACUGCAGCUCAUAGUAUCUUUUGGCAGUAGUCAAGGCCAAUGGUCCAGCACAUCCUUGGUAGGGUUUUGGGGAAAAGUGUUCCACAGCGUUGCGUUCCACUUUCUGCUGCUCUCUGCUCUGUGUUUAUCUCCAGAUAUGCUGAGGAAGAUGCUGGGAUGGUGCCAGCCCUCAGAGCCUAUUUAGACGAGUCAACAACAUGUCCUGACUGACUGACUGACAAGGCUGUCUACAACGCUGUUAAACAGUUGUCAACGCGGUUCAUCCUUACCUAACUGGAACUGGGACGGGAACUGGGACCUAUGGCUUUCACCCACUGACGAAUGGGGCACAACAUUGGCUUUCACCCACUGACGAAUGGGGCACAACAUUGGCUUUCACCCACUGACGAAUGGGGCACAACAUUGGCUUUCACCCACUGACGAAUGGGGCACAACAUUGGCUUUCACCCACUGACGAAUGGGGCACAACAUUGGCUUUCACCCACUGACGA